rnacentral:rRNA from 1 species
GCGAUAAGCGUCGGUGAGGUGAUAUGAACCGUUAUAACCGGCGAUUUCCGAAUGGGGAAACCCAGUGUGUUUCGACACACUAUCAUUAACUGAAUCCAUAGGUUAAUGAGGCGAACCGGGGGAACUGAAACAUCUAAGUACCCCGAGGAAAAGAAAUCAACCGAGAUUCCCCCAGUAGCGGCGAGCGAACGGGGAGGAGCCCAGAGCCUGAAUCAGUGUGUGUGUUAGUGGAAGCGUCUGGAAAGGCGCGCGAUACAGGGUGACAGCCCCGUACACAAAAAUGCACAUACUGUGAGCUCGAUGAGUAGGGCGGGACACGUGGUAUCCUGUCUGAAUAUGGGGGGACCAUCCUCCAAGGCUAAAUACUCCUGACUGACCGAUAGUGAACCAGUACCGUGAGGGAAAGGCGAAAAGAACCCCGGCGAGGGGAGUGAAAAAGAACCUGAAACCGUGUACGUACAAGCAGUGGGAGCCUCUUAAUGGGGUGACUGCGUACCUUUUGUAUAAUGGGUCAGCGACUUAUAUUCUGUAGCAAGGUUAACCGAAUAGGGGAGCCGAAGGGAAACCGAGUCUUAACUGGGCGUUAAGUUGCAGGGUAUAGACCCGAAACCCGGUGAUCUAGCCAUGGGCAGGUUGAAGGUUGGGUAACACUAACUGGAGGACCGAACCGACUAAUGUUGAAAAAUUAGCGGAUGACUUGUGGCUGGGGGUGAAAGGCCAAUCAAACCGGGAGAUAGCUGGUUCUCCCCGAAAGCUAUUUAGGUAGCGCCUCGUGAAUUCAUCUCCGGGGGUAGAGCACUGUUUCGGCAAGGGGGUCAUCCCGACUUACCAACCCGAUGCAAACUGCGAAUACCGGAGAAUGUUAUCACGGGAGACACACGGCGGGUGCUAACGUCCGUCGUGAAGAGGGAAACAACCCAGACCGCCAGCUAAGGUCCCAAAGUCAUGGUUAAGUGGGAAACGAUGUGGGAAGGCCCAGACAGCCAGGAUGUUGGCUUAGAAGCAGCCAUCAUUUAAAGAAAGCGUAAUAGCUCACUGGUCGAGUCGGCCUGCGCGGAAGAUGUAACGGGGCUAAACCAUGCACCGAAGCUGCGGCAGCGACACUAUGUGUUGUUGGGUAGGGGAGCGUUCUGUAAGCCUGUGAAGGUGGCCUGUGAGGGUUGCUGGAGGUAUCAGAAGUGCGAAUGCUGACAUAAGUAACGAUAAAGCGGGUGAAAAGCCCGCUCGCCGGAAGACCAAGGGUUCCUGUCCAACGUUAAUCGGGGCAGGGUGAGUCGACCCCUAAGGCGAGGCCGAAAGGCGUAGUCGAUGGGAAACAGGUUAAUAUUCCUGUACUUGGUGUUACUGCGAAGGGGGGACGGAGAAGGCUAUGUUGGCCGGGCGACGGUUGUCCCGGUUUAAGCGUGUAGGCUGGUUUUCCAGGCAAAUCCGGAAAACCAAGGCUGAGGCGUGAUGACGAGGCACUACGGUGCUGAAGCGACAAAUGCCCUGCUUCCAGGAAAAGCCUCUAAGCAUCAGGUAACAUCAAAUCGUACCCCAAACCGACACAGGUGGUCAGGUAGAGAAUACCAAGGCGCUUGAGAGAACUCGGGUGAAGGAACUAGGCAAAAUGGUGCCGUAACUUCGGGAGAAGGCACGCUGAUAUGUAGGUGAAGCGACUUGCUCGUGGAGCUGAAAUCAGUCGAAGAUACCAGCUGGCUGCAACUGUUUAUUAAAAACACAGCACUGUGCAAACACGAAAGUGGACGUAUACGGUGUGACGCCUGCCCGGUGCCGGAAGGUUAAUUGAUGGGGUUAGCGGCAACGCGAAGCUCUUGAUCGAAGCCCCGGUAAACGGCGGCCGUAACUAUAACGGUCCUAAGGUAGCGAAAUUCCUUGUCGGGUAAGUUCCGACCUGCACGAAUGGCGUAAUGAUGGCCAGGCUGUCUCCACCCGAGACUCAGUGAAAUUGAACUCGCUGUGAAGAUGCAGUGUACCCGCGGCAAGACGGAAAGACCCCGUGAACCUUUACUAUAGCUUGACACUGAACAUUGAGCCUUGAUGUGUAGGAUAGGUGGGAGGCUUUGAAGUGUGGACGCCAGUCUGCAUGGAGCCGACCUUGAAAUACCACCCUUUAAUGUUUGAUGUUCUAACGUUGGCCCGUAAUCCGGGUUGCGGACAGUGUCUGGUGGGUAGUUUGACUGGGGCGGUCUCCUCCUAAAGAGUAACGGAGGAGCACGAAGGUUGGCUAAUCCUGGUCGGACAUCAGGAGGUUAGUGCAAUGGCAUAAGCCAGCUUGACUGCGAGCGUGACGGCGCGAGCAGGUGCGAAAGCAGGUCAUAGUGAUCCGGUGGUUCUGAAUGGAAGGGCCAUCGCUCAACGGAUAAAAGGUACUCCGGGGAUAACAGGCUGAUACCGCCCAAGAGUUCAUAUCGACGGCGGUGUUUGGCACCUCGAUGUCGGCUCAUCACAUCCUGGGGCUGAAGUAGGUCCCAAGGGUAUGGCUGUUCGCCAUUUAAAGUGGUACGCGAGCUGGGUUUAGAACGUCGUGAGACAGUUCGGUCCCUAUCUGCCGUGGGCGCUGGAGAACUGAGGGGGGCUGCUCCUAGUACGAGAGGACCGGAGUGGACGCAUCACUGGUGUUCGGGUUGUCAUGCCAAUGGCACUGCCCGGUAGCUAAAUGCGGAAGAGAUAAGUGCUGAAAGCAUCUAAGCACGAAACUUGCCCCGAGAUGAGUUCUCCCUGACUCCUUGAGGGUCCUGAAGGAACGUUGAAGACGACGACGUUGAUAGGCCGGGUGUGUAAGCGCAGCGAUGCGUUGAGCUAACCGGUACUAAUGAACCGUGAGGCUUAACCU